CUAGUAAGCGCACGUGCGAAAACUGAGUAGAGCUCACUCAGCCUGUUCGCCUCACAAUCGAGUGUGCUGUUUCCCCCUUUCAAUUUCCAUUUUACGCCGGGCAGUCAGAGCAAGCGGAGGUCGAGGAGAUCAGAGGGACAAGAAAAUGUGCCUGCUCCCUGUCACGAUGUCAACGUUUCAUUCAUUCAUUCUGUUUUCCAGUAGCAGCAAACAAACAGUAGCAGCAGCAGUAGCAGCAGUAGCAGCAGUAGCAGCGUACUUGGGAUCAUUUCAUUUGAUCCCUUCUGAUCGCCGUUUGAUCUCAAGGACGGCGGUCGUUCUUCUAGCAACAGAUUUCACACCUAUGUGCCAUGUCUCGGAGGUCCGCGAUCUGAGCUGAGCGCACCCUUUGUUGGGAAAUGAAAAUUAAGGUAAUGUUUCUUGACAUUUUUAUGCUUAUUAUCAUCAUUGUUAAUUUUUUUAUGCGUUUGUUGACGCACUUUGCAGUACAGUUUCCUUUGUCCCUCCCCCCAACACCUCGCCCGUGUCCAUUUAGAGUCAUGCCUUGGGUGUAGGUGUUGGUGGCGUGAUGAAAGAAACUAGCCUUUCCGUGCCGGCAGCACACGACGCGGCGCACAGAAAAUCACACCUCUGUCCGUUACGCAACUGUCCUGAUCAGCCCUCCCGCUCCUGCCCUGCGGCGGGGUCAUUUAAUUUUGAUUUUUUUCCCCACCCCUAAGAAUAAAUACUUUCUGCUUUGAGGAUUAGCGGCGUUGCCUUAGGCUCUCUUUCAAAAUAAAUAGUAAUGGAUUGAAGAGAAGAAGGCCCUAGAUGUAGCCUUGGCCCCAGCCCCAGGAGUAAUGGUUUGUUUUGUUUGGGGUUUUUGGUUUUGUUUGUUAGUGGGUUUGUUUGU
rnacentral:lncRNA from 1 species